rnacentral:rRNA from 1 species
GACGAACGCUGGCGGCGUGCUUAACACAUGCAAGUCGAACGGAGCGAAUGAAAGCUUGCUUUUAUAAGCUAGUGGCAAACGGGUGGGUAACACGUAGGCAACCUGCCGACAGGAUGGGGACAACAUUCCGAAAGGAAUGCUAAUACCGAAUGAAGUCAGAGGAGGGCAUCCUCUUCUGAUGAAAGAUGGCCUCUAUAUAUAAGCUAUCACCUGUCGAUGGGCCUGCGUCUGAUUAGCUGGUAGGUGAGGUAACGGCUCACCUAGGCGACGAUCAGUAGCCGGUCUGAGAGGAUGAACGGCCACAUUGGGGCUGAGACACGGCCCAGACUCCUACGGGAGGCAGCAGUGGGGAAUCUUCCGCAAUGGGCGCAAGCCUGACGGAGCAACGCCGCGUGAGUGAAGAAGGUCUUCGGAUCGUAAAGCUCUGUUGAUGGGGACGAACGUGCCUAAUGCGAAUAGUUUUAGGUAAUGACGGUACCCAUCGAGGAAGCCCGG